rnacentral:snoRNA from 2 species
CAUUUCUCAAGAUCGCACCUGGAGAGUUUCCAGUACUCUACCAAUCUCGGCUGUAGGAGGGAGAGUCAAGUAGAGGCAUACCCAUUCCAUUCCUAGCUUGGGCAGUGGCUAGUGAUUGGAAGGCAAUCUACUAUAAGU